rnacentral:rRNA from 1 species
CGUAACAAGGUCUCCGUAGGUGAACCUGCGGAGGGAUCAUUACACAAAUAUGAAGGCGGGCUGGAACCUCUCGGGGUUACAGCCUUGCUGAAUUAUUCACCCUUGUCUUUUGCGUACUUCUUGUUUCCUUGGUGGGUUCGCCCACCACUAGGACAAACAUAAACCUUUUGUAAUUGCAAUCAGCGUCAGUAACAAAUUAAUAAUUACAACUUUCAACAACGGAUCUCUUGGUUCUGGCAUCGAUGAAGAACGCAGCGAAAUGCGAUAAGUAGUGUGAAUUGCAGAAUUCAGUGAAUCAUCGAAUCUUUGAACGCACAUUGCGCCCUUUGGUAUUCCAAAGGGCAUGCCUGUUCGAGCGUCAUUUGUACCCUCAAGCUUUGCUUGGUGUUGGGCGUCUUGUCUCUAGCUUUGCUGGAGACUCGCCUUAAAGUAAUUGGCAGCCGGCCUACUGGUUUCGGAGCGCAGCACAAGUCGCACUCUCUAUCAGCAAAGGUCUAGCAUCCAUUAAGCCUUUUUUUCAACUUUUGACCUCGGAUGAGGUAGGGAUACCCGCUGAACUUAAGC